rnacentral:pre_miRNA from 1 species
AAAGUACCCCCUCUGUCCCAAAAUUCUUGUCUUAGAUUUGUCUAGAUACGGAUGUAUCAAGUCACAGAUACAUCCGUAUCUAGACAAAUCUAAGACAAGAAAUUUGGGAUAGAGGGAGUAGUUG